GUGAGGUAAUGGCUCACCAAGGCGACGACGGGUAGCCGGCCUGAGAGGGUGACCGGCCACACUGGGACUGAGACACGGCCCAGACUCCUACGGGAGGCAGCAGUGGGGAAUAUUGCACAAUGGGCGCAAGCCUGAUGCAGCAACGCCGCGUGGGGGACGAAGGCCUUCGGGUUGUAAACCUCUUUUGGCAGGGAAGAAGCGAAAGUGACGGUACCUGCAGAAAAAGCACCGGCUAACUACGUGCCAGCAGCCGCGGUAAUACGUAGGGUGCAAGCGUUGUCCGGAAUUAUUGGGCGUAAAGAGCUCGUAGGCGGUGUGUCACGUCUGCUGUGAAAAUCCAAGGCUCAACCUUGGACUUGCAGUGGGUACGGGCACACUCGAGUGCGGUAGGGGAGAUUGGAAUUCCUGGUGUAGCGGUGGAAUGCGCAGAUAUCAGGAGGAACACCGAUGGCGAAGGCAGAUCUCUGGGCCGUAACUGACGCUGAGGAGCGAAAGCGUGGGGAGCGAACAGGAUUAGAUACCCUGGUAGUCCACGCCGUAAACGGUGGGAACUAGAUGUGGGGUCCGUUCCACGGAUUCCGUGUCGCAGCUAACGCAUUAAGUU
rnacentral:rRNA from 1 species